GAAGCUGGCUAGACAGUCGCUGCGCGCGCAAGCGCGGAGAGGAAAGUCCGGGCUCCAUAGAGCAGGAUGCCGGUUAACGACCGGAGGCCGUGAGGCCAUGGAAAGUGCCACAGAAAAUAUACCGCCGAUGAUUUGGUUAUCCAAAAACAGGUAAGGGUGAAAUGGUGGGAGGUGAUCCUUUAAUGUAAGAGCCCACCGCGAUUAUGGCGACAUAAUCGGCAGGGUAAACCCCAUUCGAAGCAAGUCCAAAUAGGACA
rnacentral:RNase_P_RNA from 1 species